CCCAAGUGGAGUGCAGUGGCACGAUCUUGGCUCACUGCAGCCUCUGCCUCCUGGGUUCAAGCAAUUCUCCUGCCUCAGCCUCCCGAGUAGCUGGGAUUACAGGUGUGCGCCACCAUGCCCAGCUAAUUUUUGUAUUUUCAGUAGAGACGGGGUUUCACCAUGUUGGCCAGGCUGGUCUUGAACUCCUGACCUCGUGAUCUGCCUGCCUGGGCCUCCCAAAGUGUAGGAUCUCUGCCUUCUAAGGCUGAGGACCAUCCUGCCAUACACACAGACCACGUUUCCUUUCUGCACUGGCUUGGCUGCUGGCGGAUGCAGCUGUCUGCCUCUUGGCUGUCCAGGAGAGUGCUGCCAGGAACAUGGCGUCCAGGAUUUCCUCAGCUGUUACUUUGCAUUCUUUUGGGUAAACAUCUAGAGGCAGAAUGGAUAGAUCAGAGUUCUAGGUUACCAUACUGUUUCCAGAGUCAAUUUUCUAUUUUGAUUUUUUUCACCCUAUCUUACGGUGCUGAUAAAUUUGGAUGUUUGACAGGCUGUCCUCCGAAAAGGUGGUACCAGUUUCCUGUCCCUUCCUCUGCCUGUUCCGCACUCUGUCAUCAGCAUGGGGAGCAUCAGCCUUGAGUGUUUCCCAAGCUGCCGUGGAGAUGGUUGGGAGCACCUGGGCUUCUGCCACGCUGUGGAAAAGCCCCUGCCGUCCCGUUCCCUGUGUCGUGUGUGUCCCUGCCCGUGCGUUUCGAGCUGGCAGCUGUUUCCUUACUGAUGUGUAGAAGAGCUUUAGAAGUUAGGAAAUUCGCUUUUUUCAUGUGCUGCAAAUACUUCUUCUUCCCUCAGUUUACCAUGUGUAUUGAGAUACUUUGGUGAGUUUGCUUUUGAUUUCUGUAUGGCCAGUUUUACCCACCUUUUCUCCUGUGGUUUCUUGCUUUUGCGUUGGGCAUGGAAAGGGUUCCCUGUGGCAGACACAGCCAAGGGAGAUGCGUGGGGGGUCCCCACGGCCUGGCCUGAAAGGAGGCAUGGAAGUCCGCAGGGAUGCGCUGGAGCCUUGGGUCCCGCCCCCUCUUCGUGAGAUCGGCAUCCUCUCAGCUCCCCUUCCUCCCUCCAAAGGACUGGAGAGUCUGCCCUGAGGCAGUGACCUGCACGCAGGGGUGUGGGUGGGCCGGGAGGGAGUGGCCGGGGCUGGACAGGGUGUGACCAUCUGCAAACCACUGAGGAACAAAGAAGUUCUAAAUGAAAGACCAGAAAAUGCUUUCUGCAUUUUGGGAGGAGGG
rnacentral:lncRNA from 1 species